AGUCAUAUUCCGCCUUUCCCCCAGUGCCACCACCCAUCUGAUCCGAUCCGUGGUCCACGGUCCACGGUCCACGGUCCACGGUCCCAUGGAAAACGGCAAUCAAAGGGGAAAGGGAGAAAUGGAAGGUAAAUUUAGUGCUGGUGUUGGUUUUCCCAAUGAUUUGUGAAUUUCUGUUUUUGUGACUUCAUAUAGGAAACUUUGAAUUUGAUUGCAGCUGGCGUGGCAUAUGUAUACUCGAAGAGUGACCUCGCCUCGGUUCAAAGACACAUGUGGUUGAAAAAAUGUGAAAUAUGCAGGCAUAUUUGUACUUGUUCACAAUGCUUCAAUAAUUUCCAACCCAUAAUGCAACGAUGCGGGCAACUAAAGCUUCUAUCAUGGUCGAAGCAAUUGUCAAAUUCUCUUCAGAGAACAGAUUAGAGAACAUUUUCUGUCGCC
rnacentral:lncRNA from 1 species